rfam:Phytophthora infestans T30-4 supercont1.11 genomic scaffold, whole genome shotgun sequence.
AAGACCGUACUUACACAGGAUCAUUUCUAUAGUACCUUCUUUUCUACUUAACUUUCCUCGUAGACAAUCUCAAUAACUUUGAUGAUCGUACGUCUGUAUUCGACUUCAUUCAUUGACUCGGGAUGUCGGUGGUUGCAGUGCUGGGUUCUCUUUUGAACUUGGUCUCCCCCAUUGAUGAACGUCCGCAGUCGCUAUUCCAAGGCAGCGUGAGUGAGUGGAGUGAUAUGAGAAGU